rnacentral:tRNA from 1 species
GGGUGCUUAGCUCAACUGGCUAGAGCAUCUCGUUUACACCGAGAAGGUUUGGGGUUCGAGUCCCUAAGCACCCACCA